CAUUGCUAGGAUAAUGAUUUGUGUUACUAUUAUUCCUGCGAACUGCUAGAUAUUUCAAUUAUGCAUGAUUUGCAUCAAUGCAGUGUGUUGUGUGUAUACAGAAACCUUAAAUUCUCCCAUUUAUUAAAAAUUGAGUUUACCCACUUUCUCUUUUUCAACCUUGAGACUUGUUGUCGAAAUAUUUUUCCUAACCCAUUUUUAAUAUUUCUUUAGAUGAACAGCCUACUUCUUGAUUGGAAGAAACUAUACCGAUGUCGAUCGAGUUUUUAAAGGAUCUCUUCUUCCUCCUUUCCUCAAAUGUCCUCGUGUACACUUCAUGUGAAGUGUGGGUGUAUUCACGUGGACUCGUGUGGGUGUAUUUCGUGGACGUUUUCAUAUCUCGACUGGUGAAUUCAACUUUUCUUCCAACGGUGAACUUGUGGAUGCCUGGCCGUAUUUCCCAGGCAUAAAGGCCUCCAGCAUAGCCGUAGAAAAGGACUCAGUGCGCUGAGAUAGCGCGACGUCAAACUGCAGCGCACCUAGCGGCCUGACGUUGCAACAGCGACCGGGACCGGACGCCCGGACCCGGACGUUUCUUACUUUCUUCUGAACAUGGCAAUGUUGGCCGUUCUUUCUAAGAUGGCUGCUGGCAAUCGACACAAGAAGCGACUGCAAGUUGACAGCAUUCCCGGAGGGACGGAUCACCCUGAGUUCUGCACAGAGUGCCGUAAGAGUUGGAUAUCAAUGAAAAGAUUGAAAAUCAUUUACCCAUCACAAUCACAACUAGUGAUUUAAUACCUCAAUUCUUUCCCCUCAUUGAGUGAUGCCCGAGCCAGAAUUGUAACACUGCAGGUGAAAUUGAGCUUUUUGAAGUUGGACAACCAUGCCUGGAAGGAUAAAUUCUUCUUUUUCCUAUACCGGCUGUAUGUUUUGUAAGAAACACUUCAGAACUAUUAAGGAUAAAUGUCUGGUAAAAGUAUGAGCUUCUUUGUUGCUGCCCAACGUACACAUGGAUUUGAUGCAGCCAGCUGAGGGCUUUAACUCUUUUUUAUCGGUUUUAUUCCACUAGUUGCUGCCCAAUGUGGUACGUUGUUGCAGCCUAUGCCGGUGAAAGAUCUUUCUACAACAAGUUCAAUUGGCCGUUCCUUGGUGAUGUGUCAGCGAGGUUGUAUCGUUAUUUUGUUAAAUUGUCAUCGUGACUAUGCAGCAGUUUAUCGUAAAAAACAAAAACAAAUAUGGGAUGUUCAUGUCAAACAAAUAAUAAACAUGUCUUUGGGGUUGGGAAAGGAAAGUGGAGGAGGAUAUUUCAAGUUUGGAUAAAAAACAGUUCAUGUUUAACCCUACAAACAUAUCCCUACCAACUAAUCUGCAAACCCCACAAACUUAUACCUUCCAAUUCUUCAAACCCCACAAACAUAAACCUACCAACCUCUCAAUUUAUACCCUAAACCCCAUAAACCAAUGUGAAACCUUAACUGUAAUAUAUCUAUAAUAAAUAAAAAUAUUCUUUGUA